rnacentral:lncRNA from 1 species
UCUAUGGAACCAGCAAAGCAUGAAAGGUUUAAGACACUUCAUCAGUUGGGUUUUCUUGCCUUGAAAAAGGGGGAAUAGAAAAUGAUUUGAGUUGAGAAAACCCUUCUUUGAAGCUAUGUGCAGCUUUUAACAGUUGGAUAAAGUAAACUCUUAGAAAUUGGAGUGUAUUUCUUUCUCUCUACCUGAUUUCCCCAGAAUUUGAAAACUAUUUGACACCAUUGGAGAAACUGGUUAUUUUACCAAGGCUCUGACUGGAAUGGCAUACUUUCAGAUGGAAACAGACUAAGGAAUCAAAGUUGACUUAUACAGCCAAUAAAAAGCCCCUUGGGAAAACUGGCUUCA